rnacentral:rRNA from 1 species
UACGUAGGGGGCUAGCGUUGUCCGGAAUCAUUGGGCGUAAAGCGCGUGUAGGCGGUCCGGUAAGUCCGCUGUGAAAGUCGAGGGCUCAACCCUCGAAUGCCUGUGGAUACUGUCGGGCUAGAGUACGGAAGAGGCGAGUGGAAUUCCUGGUGUAGCGGUGAAAUGCGCAGAUAUCAGGAAGAACACCCGUGGCGAAGGCGGCUCUCUGGGACGGUACUGACGCUGAUGCGCGAAAGCUAGGGGAGCGAACAGG